rnacentral:rRNA from 1 species
CCUACGGGAGGCAGCAGUGAGGAAUAUUGGUCAAUGGACGGAAGUCUGAACCAGCCAUGCCGCGUGCAGGAAGAAGGCUCUAUGAGUUGUAAACUGCUUUUGUACAAGGGUAAACCUGAAUACGUGUAUUCAGCUGAAAGUACUGUACGAAUAAGGAUCGGCUACCUCCGUGCCAGCAGCCGCGGUAAUACGGAGGAGCCAAGCGUUAUCCGGAUUUAUUGGGUUGAAAGGGUGCGUAGGCGGAUUGAUAAGUUAGAGGUGAAAUGUCCGAGCUUAACUCGGGAACUGCCUCUCAUACUGUUGAUCUAGAGCGUAGGUGCGGUAGGCGGAAUGUCUGGUGUAGCGGU